GCGAGGGUCGAUCCCACUGAGAACUUCAGCUGAGGGUAUUUUAUACCCAACACCAGUCCCCCCACUUCCGAGUUUGAAUUUCGAAUGAAGGAAGUACAGUGAGGUUGUCGCAGUCGAAGUUCUCUCCCUGACGUCCGCAUGCAACCAUCCUCGGAUACGUCGGUAUUUAAUGCGCGCAUGCCGGAACCAUUUUUUUGAUUAGGGCGACCCGAAGAGUCUUUUCGGAACUCCCAUCGGGAUGUGAUCCCA
rnacentral:lncRNA from 1 species